UACGUAGGGUGCGAGCGUUGUCCGGAAUUACUGGGCGUAAAGAGCUCGUAGGUGGUUUGUCGCGUUGUUCGUGAAAACCGGGGGCUUAACUCUCGGCGUGCGGGCGAGUGCGGGCAGACUGGAGUACUGCAGGGGAGACUGGAAUUCCUGGUGUAGCGGUGGAAUGCGCAGAUAUCAGGAGGAACACCAGCGGCGAAGGCGGCGCUCUGGGCCGGAACUGACGCUGAGGAGCGAAAGCGUGGGGAGCGAACAGG
rnacentral:rRNA from 1 species